rnacentral:rRNA from 1 species
CGUGUAGGCGGUCUGAUAAGUUCGGCGUGAAAUUUCCCGGCUUAACCGGGGGAUGUCGUCGGAGACUGUCGGACUAGAGGGUGAUAGAGGCGUGUGGAAUUCCGGGUGUAGUGGUGAAAUGCGUAGAGAUCCGGAGGAACACCAGUGGCGAAGGCGACACGCUGGGUCACACCUGACGCUAAAACGCGACAGCAUGGGGAGCAAACG